UGGCGGCAGGGAGACUUUGUCCGGACUCCUACGGGAGUCGGACUUUGUCUCCGACUCCAACUGUAAGAAAACUUCGUCCGGACUCCUACGGGAGCCGGACUUCAUCCCCGACUUCAGCAGCAGGAAGACUUCAUCCGGACUCGUACGGGAGCCGGACUUCGUCCCCGACUUCAGCGGCAGGAAGACUUCGUCCGGACUCCUACGGGAGCCGGACU
rnacentral:lncRNA from 1 species